rnacentral:rRNA from 1 species
AUUGAACGCUGGCGGCAGGCCUAACACAUGCAAGUCGGACGGUAGCACAGAGGAGCUUGCUCCUUGGGUGACGAGUGGCGGACGGGUGAGUAAUGUCUGGGGAUCUGCCCGAUAGAGGGGGAUAACCACUGGAAACGGUGGCUAAUACCGCAUAACGUCGCAAGACCAAAGAGGGGGACCUUCGGGCCUCUCACUAUCGGAUGAACCCAGAUGGGAUUAGCUAGUAGGCGGGGUAAUGGCCCACCUAGGCGACGAUCCCUAGCUGGUCUGAGAGGAUGACCGGCCAAGCUGGAACUGAGACACGGUCCAGACUCCUACGGGAGGCAGCAGUGGGGAAUAUUGCACAAUGGGCGCAAGCCUGAUGCAGCCAUGCCGCGUGUAUGAAGAAGGCCUUCGGGUUGUAAAGUACUUUCAGCGGGGAGGAAGGCGGUGCGGUUAAUAACCGCGCCGAUUGACGUUACCCGCAGAAGAAGCACCGGCUAACUCCGUGCCAGCAGCCGCCGCCG